AAACAUCUCUCUUUGAUUAAAAGUUAAACAUAAAGAGUUUGACCUGCCCAGUGAUAUAUUAUUCAACGGCCGCAGUACUCUGACUGUGCAAAGGUAGCAUAAUAACUUGCCUUUUAAUUGGUGGCUAGUAUGAAUGGUUUGACGAAAGCAUUUCUGUCUCAAAUAUAUUUUCUAUAAUUUAUCUUUUAGGUUAAAAGACUUAAAUAAAACUAAAGGACGAGAAGACCCUAUCGAGCUUUAAAAAACUUUAAGAAAAAACUUAUUAUAAAGAUUUAUUUUCUAAAAAAAUUUUUUGGUUGGGGCAACCUAGGAAUAAAUAAAACUUCCUUAAAUAAAUAAUAAUAAACACAAAGAUCCAACAUAAUGUUGAUAAAUGAAAUUAGUUACCGUAGGGAUAACAGCGUAAUUUUUUCUGAGAGAUCUUAUCGAAGAAAAAGCUUGCGACCUCGAUGUUGGAUUGAGAUAACUUAAAGGUGCAGAAAUUUUUAUAAGUUAGUCUGUUCGACUAUAAAAAUCUCACAUGAUC
rnacentral:rRNA from 1 species